rnacentral:lncRNA from 1 species
GUGAUUUUAAAAAGCAUUUCUACUUAGGGUGUUUUCAAUUUAUUUUGGGCUUAUUGGGAUGUAACCCCAUUGUAAGUCAAAGAGCAUCUGUUUACACUACUUGUAACUGUGUGUAUGAAGAGAAAACCAUCAUGCCCAUGGGUUAAACUUUAGAUUUCAGAGUCUGUCUUCUUGGGCUCAAUUUCUGCCUUUGCCAAUUAUUAGCCAAACAACUUGAGCCAGCGUACUUGACACUCCUGAGUUUCAUUUUCCUUUUCUAAAAGAGAGACAAUAAUAGUACCUGCCUCAGGGUAGUUGUGAGGAUUAAAUGAAGUAUUAUGUGAGUUUAAGAGAGAGAAUGCUCUUCACAGUGAAAAGCUCACAGGGGUGGGGGACUCCAUCUUGCCUAGUGGAUUUGAAUGAGGCUCUAACAAGAACUGGCAGGAUAACUAAUCCACCUGUACUCAGCUGCCUUGAAUUUGAACUGGGAAUAAGGGAGUCAGGCUUUUCUGAGGAUUAAAGAGAUAAGGGCAUUUAGAAUAAUACCUAGUAGAUAAUAGCACAGAAGUGAUUGUUAUCAUGCACUAUUUUCUCCAGGUAUCAGAAGAGUAUCAUUACAAGGUAGAUGCUCUGUUUACUCAAAGGCAUAGUCAAUAAUUUUUAAAGAACUGUUUGAAGCUAGACAUGGUGGCACACACCUGUAAUCCCAGAUACUUGAAAUGCUCAGACAGGAGGAUCCAAGUUUUAGGCCAGUCUGGGCAACUUAGUGAGACCUAUCUCAAAUUAAAAAAUAAAAAGGGCUGGGAUGUAACUCAGUGCUAGAGCACCCCUGGGUUCAAUCCCCAGUGCUUAAAAAAAGAA